rnacentral:lncRNA from 1 species
AUCAAACUAUAUAUAACUAAGUCAGAGCUUCCUACAGAUGAUUCAGAAACUGUUGAAAAGACCUAAAAGACUUUUAAAAAUGGGCUUUCUCUUAUAUUUUAUAUUUGGAAGAAAAACCAUAAGGUAUAUGUAGGUCACUUAAUCACUAAAUAUCAUUGCCUACAGGCCUCUCAUGAACACAUUAGCCAUUGGUAAUCUGCCUAUGUACAUGGCACCUGUUUGAGCUCUCAUGCUGUGAAAACUUGCCUGUUCUUCCAGAAGACCCCAUUGGAAGCACCAGUUUCACCUCUGUAUGACCUUCUGAGACUAGCACUCUGGAAUUGUUUUAGUUGAGUCUUUUAGAAUAUAAAACGUUUUAUUACCAUGGAUUCAGUUGUCAGGUAUUAUUAUCAAUUUUGAAGAAAUAAAUUUUGAGGAGGUAUAAGAAAGGAAUGCAUCUUAUGAAAUGUUACAGUGAAGCCUACUAUUGACCUUUGACUACUGGGAGUUUUAAGUGUGUUAGAAUCUGUAAUCUACAAUUAAGGGAAUUAACCAGAGUUGUGAGCUAUCACACAGAUUUAAGUAUAGAUUUUGUCUUUAUCAAAUGAACUGAAAGAACAAGUUACAGUUAAAGUUUGAAUGGAAGAGCCGGCUGUGGUUGUUCCACUUCUUGUUGUUGCUGUUUACAUUCCUUUGUCUACCCUACCUCUUCAUAAGCCUACACCUUCAUUUUAGCAAGUAAAUGUUGAAUACUUCUGCUUCACGGUCAAGACAGAAUCAGAAGCCAUUGAUAUAGGCAAUUUGUCUAUUUUCUUUUUCCAUGACUAUAUCUACUGCCUUGUCUUGAUUUAUAAGCAAAACCUGAAAACCUACAAAACAAAUGUUUUGUGGUGUACCUAGAAAUAAUACAGAAAAUAUUGCUGUUAUUUUUGGUGAAGAAAAUCAAUUUUGUGUAGUUUAUUUCAAUCUAAAUAAAAUGUGAAAUUUGUUUUAAAAAAAGAAAAUUAUAUGAACACAAAUGUAAAAGAAUCUUAACAACAACAUAUAUCAAGGAUAAUACAUUAUGAUCAAGUGGACUUUAUCCAAGAAAUGCAGAGUUGUUUUUGUAAAUUAAAAAAUCAAUCUGUGUAAAUUGCCUUUCCCCCACUACUGCUAUGCUGGAGAUGGAACCUAGGGCCUUGGACAUGCUGAACUACUGAGUUACAGUCCGGUCUCACCAUAUUAAUAAGAAGAAAAAUCUUAUAAUCAUCUCAGUAGAUGGAAAAAUUAAGCCUUGGGAAAAAUUAAAUAUUCAUUCAUGAUGAAUACUCUCAGCAAAUGAAGAAUAGAGAGAACUUUCACACUACUGGUACAUCUAUGAAAAACUAACAAUAUUCUUAACGGUGAAAGACUAAAUGGUUUCUUCUUAUGAACAGGAACAAGGCAAGGAUAGGUACUCAGACCACUCAACAUUAUACUAGAAGUUCUAGCCAUUGCAAUAAAGCAACAAAAAUAUUAAAAAAGGCUCAAAUAUUGUAAAAAAGUAGAAAUUUAUUAACAGUGUCUUGAUCAUCUUUGUACAAAAUCUUGGGGAUGCUACCUUGUGGCUAUAAGACCUGUUAUGUGUUUUUAGCAAGAUUACAGAAUCAAAAAUCAAUAUACAAAAAUCAGUUGUACUUCUAUAUAAUGACAACAAAUGAAAACUGAACUUUCAGAAGUUCUAUUCAUAAAAUUAUUCCUAUAGAAAUAUGAUACACUUCAGAUAAAUUUGGCAAAAGAUGUGCAAAACUUGACUACUGAAAACCACACAACAUCAUUAAAAGGAAUUAAAGACCUAAAUCAGUGGAGAGAUAUACAGUGUUAAUGAAUCAGUCUUGUUCAUAUGUCAAGCUUCUUCAAGACAAUCCCAGUGAAAAUCUAAAUAGGCUUUAUAAAAAGUGUCAAGUUGAUUCUGAAAGUAAUACAUAAAUGCAAAGGGUCCAAAGUAACCAAAUGUUUAUUUUUUUGUUUUUGUUUUAUGGGGGGUGUCUUGGGUUUUUGGUUAUGGUUUUAGUUUUGGUUUGGGUACAGGGGAUUGAACCCAGGGGAGCUUAACCACUGAGCCACAUCCCCAGCCUUUUUUAUAUUUUAUUUUGAGACAGGGUCUUGCUAAGUUGCUUAGGGUGUCACUAAAUUGCUGAAACUGGCUUUAAACUUGCAAUCCUCCUGCUGGAGGAGCUGCUGGGAUUACAGGUGUGCACCUCCAUACCCAGCACCAAAACAUUUUUGAAAAAGUACAAGUUUGGAAGACUACCUGAUUUCAAGACUUAUUAUAAAGCUACUACAAUCAAAACAGAAAGCAAGUAGUGAAAAGACCAGUGGAAUGGACUAGAGGGUCCAGAAGUAAACUCAUCCUUACAUGCUGAUUAAUUUAUGAUUAGAUUAAUUUAUAAUUAGGGGAGAAUCAUCUUUCCUAUCUCAAUAAAUGGUUCACGAUUGUGAGCUAUCCAAAUGAAACCAAAAAGAGCUGUGGCUGGAAACAGAUCACAGAAAUAAAAGCAAGAGCUGAGAUUAUAAACCUUCCAGAAGAAAAAUUUAGAAAGCUCAGGUUAGAUAAAGAUGUCUUUUUUUAAAAAAUUUUUAUUUUUUAGUUUUAGGUGGACACAAUAUCUUUAUUUUAUUUUUAUGUGGUGCUGAGAAUCAAACCCAGUGCCUCAUGCAUGCAAGGCGAGCACACUACCACAUGAGCCACAUCCCCAGACCCAAGAUGUCUUAAAAAGUACACAACAAGCACUUACAAUGAAAGAAAUUCAGUAACUAAUUGAAAAACAGGUAAAAAUUUUGAAUAGAUACUUCACAUAAAGGGGGGGGGCAAAUAAGCACCAAAAAAUUGCUGACUAUCAUUAGUCAUUACAGAAAUACUAGUUAAAACCAUAAGCACCCAUUGGCAUGGCUAGCAUAAAAAUACUGAUUACACCAAACAUUGAUGAGAAAGUGGAGCAACACUUCCAUGCACUGCUGGUGAGACUAUGAGGUGGUACAACCACUUUGGAAGCAGUUUAGUCAUCUCUUUAAAAGUUAUUUGUAUUUAGCAUGUAUAGCUUUUACAAUGUUGAGGUAUGUUCCUACUAUCCCUAGUUUUCUAGUGUUUUGAACAUGAAGGUGUAUUGUAUUUUGUCAAAUGCUUUUUCUGCAUCGAAUGAGAUGAUCAUAUGAUUCUUAUUUUUAAGUCUAUUAAUAUGAUGAAUUAUGUUUAUUGAUUUGGUAUGUUGAAACAACCCCUGCAUCCCUGAGAUGAAUCCCACUUGAUCAUGGUGUACUAUCUUUUAAAUAUGUUUUUGUAUGCAAUUUGCCAGAAUUUUAUUGAGAAUUUUUACAUCUAUGUUCAUCAGGGAUAUUGGGCUGAAGUUUUCUUUCCUUGAUGUGUCUUUGUCUGGUUUUGGUAUCAGGGUGAUACUCACCUCAUAGAAUGAGUUUGGAAGGGUUCCCUCCUUUUCUAUUUCAUGAAACACUUUGAGGAGUAUUGGUGUUAAUUCUUCUUUGAAAGUGGUGUAGAAGAACUGGGGAAAGCCUUCCUGCUAAAAACUGGAAUAAGACAAGGAUGUCCUCUUUCACCACUUCUAUUCAACAUCAUCCUUGAAACUCUAAUGACAGCAAUUAGACAAAAGAAAGAAAUUAAAGGGAUACAAAUAGGUAAAGAAGAGCUCAAACUAUCACUAUUUACUGAUGACAUGAUUCUAUAUCUAGAAGAUCCAAAAAAUUCCACCAGAAAACUUCUAGAACUAAUAAAUGAAUUCAGCAAAGCAGCAGGAUAUAAAAUCAACACCCUUAAAUCAAAUGCAUUUCUAAACAUCAGUGAUGAAUCCACCGAAAGAGAAAUUAGGAAAACUACUCCAUUCACAAUAGCCUCAAAAAAAAAAAAAAAUACCUGGGAAAAUCUAACAAAAAAGGUGAAAGACCUCUACAACGAAAACUACAGAACACUAAGGAAAGAAAUUGAAGAAAACCUCAGAAGACAGAAAGAUCUCCCAUGCACCUGGAUAGGCAGAAUUAACAUUGUCAAAAUGGCCAUACUACCAAAAGCAUUAUACAGAUUAAAUGCAAUUCCUAUUAAAAUCCCAAUGACAUUCUUCAAAGAAACAGAAAAAGCAUUCAUGAAAUUUAUUUGGAAAAAUAAGCGACCCAGAAUAGCUAAAACAAUCCUUAGCAAGAAAAGUGAAGCAGGAGGCAUCACAAUACCAGAUCUUAAAUUAUACUACAGAGCUAUAGUAACAAAAAUGGCAUGAUAUUGGCACCAAAAUAGACUUGUAGACCAAUGGUACAGAAUAGAGGACACAGAGACUAACCCACAUAAAUACAGUUAUCUCAUACUAGACAAAGGUACCAAAAACAUUCACUGGAGAAAAGAUAACCUAUUCAACAAAUGGUGCUGGCAAAACUGGAAAUCCAUAUGCAACAAAACGAAAUUAAACCUCUAUCUCUCUCUCACCUCUCUCACCCUGCACAAAAAUCAACUCAAAGUGGAUCAAAGACUUAGGCACUAGAACAGAGACCCUGCACCUAACAGGAAAAAAUAGGCUCAAAUCUUCACCAUGUCAACCUAGGAUCUGACUUCCUUAAAAGACUCCAAAAGCACAAGAAGUAAAAUCAACAAUCAAUAAAUGGGGUGGAUUCAAAUUUAAAAGAUUCUUCUCAGGGCUGGGGAAGUGGCUCAAGUGGUAGCGUGCUUGCCUAGCAUGCAUGAGGCAAUGGGUUCGAUUCUGAGCACCACAUAAAAAUUUUUUAAAAUGAAGAUAUUGUGUCCCCCUAAAAAAACUAAAAAAGAUUCUUCUCAGCAAAGAAAACAAUUAAUAACAUGAGGAGAGAGCCUACAGAUUGGGAGAAAAUCUUUACCACAUGCACCUCCAAUAAAGCAUUAAUCUCUGGGAUAUAUAAAGAACUCAAAAAACUUAACACCAAAAAAAUAAAUAACCCAAUCAAUAAAUGGCUAAGGAACAGAACAGACACUUCACAGAAGAAGAAAUACAACUGAUCAACAAAUAUAUGAAAAAGUUUUCAACAUCUCUAGCAAUCAGAGAAAUGCAAAUCAAAACCACUCUAAGAUUUCAAUCUCACUCCUAUCAGAAUAGCAAUCAUCAAUACAUCAUACAGGCAACAGGGCUGGGACUGUGGCUCAACGGUAGAGUGCUUGCCUCGCAUGCAAGGCCCUGGGUUCGAUCCUCAACACCACAUAAAAAUAAGUAAAUAAAAAAAAAGGUAUUGUGUCCAACUAUGACUAAAAAAUAAAUAUUAAAAAAAGAAUACAGGCAACAAUAAAUGUUGGCCAGGAUGUGGUAUAAAAGGUUCACUCAUUCAUUGCUGAUGGGAAUGCAAAUUGGUGCAACCACAACGGAAAGCAAUAUGGAGAUUCCUCAAAAAACUGGGAAUGGAACCACCAUUUGACCCAGCUAUCCCACUCCUUGGUUUAUACCCAAAGAACUUAAAAUCAGCAUACUAUAGUGACACAGCCACAUCAAUGUUUAUAGCACCUCAAUUCACAAUAGCUAGACUAUGGAACCAACCUAGGUGUCCCUCAAUAGAUGAAUGGAUAAAGAAAAUGUGGUAUAUAUACUCAAUGGAAUAUUACUCAGCUUUAAGGAAGAGUGAAAUUAUGACAUUUGCCAAUAAAUGGUUGGAGUUGGAGAAUAUCAUGCUAAGCGAAAUAAGCCAAUCCUACAAAACCAAAGGCCGAAUGUUCUCUCUAAUAUGUGGAUGCUAAUUCACAAUAAGGUGGGGGAUGCUAGGGAAGAAUAGCAUUACCUUAGAUUAGGUAGAGGGAAGUGAUAGGAGGGGAGGGGUGGGGAUAUGGGGAUAGGAAAGAUAGUAGAGUAAAACAGACAUUAUAUGUGAUAUAUGUGACUAUAUGACUAAUAUGAUUCUGCAACAUGUACACUCAGAAAAAUAAGAAAUUAUAUCUCAUCUAUGUAUGAUAUAUCAAACUGCAUAAAUGCAUUCUACUGUCAUGUAUAAUU